rnacentral:sRNA from 1 species
UUGACAGCAUUGGAAAAUGAAGCCCUCUCUUCUUUAUCCAGAGAAGAGGUAGUAAAGCACAGACAGAGGCAGGGCAAGCUUCUCCAGGGCAAGCUGCCCCAUCAAUUUGCCUCAAUCCUGACCUGGAGGGAUCACUUCUGAAGNGUAGUGUUGGUGGGGGAAGGGUUAUUUUUGCAAAUAGUUUAUUCAGUGAAAAAU